rnacentral:lncRNA from 1 species
CUACCAUCACCACCACUCAUACUUUGUUGAAACCACAAACCUAUCAACACUCAUAUAUCACUACCUUAUUCGUCACGUUUAAUAUGUUACCUAACAACUACAUCAUUCCCAUAGAGCUUGCCUCCAUUCCAUUUCCAGUUUCGCCUCUCAAAUUUCAACAUUGAAUAGCAUCCCCACACCUUUCAUCCAUCACAAACCACUCUCCAAUUCUACCAACCUUCAAAGCCACAAUGGUUAACAAGUACCCA